rnacentral:rRNA from 1 species
UACGGAGGGUGCGAGCGUUGUCCGGAAUCAUUGGGCGUAAAGGGCGCGUAGGUGGCGGGACAAGCGUGCGGUGAAAGCCCGGGGCUCAACCCCGGGUCGGCCGUGGCAACUGUCGAGCUGGAGCACUGUAGAGGCAGGUGGAAUUCCGGGUGUAGCGGUGGAAUGCGUAGAGAUCCGGAAGAACACCGGUGGCGAAGGCGGCCUGCUGGGCAGUGGCUGACGCUGAGGCGCGACAGCGUGGGGAGCAAACAGG